rnacentral:tRNA from 1 species
GGAGAGGUGCUGGAGUGGUUGAUCAGGCCGGUCUCGAAAACCGGUGAGCCCGAAAGGGUUCCGAGGGUUCGAAUCCCUCCCUCUCCGCCA